ACUCCUACGGGAGGCAGCAGUGGGGAAUCUUGGACAAUGGGGGCAACCCUGAUCCAGCCAUGCCGCGUGAGUGAUGAAGGCCUUAGGGUCGUAAAGCUCUUUCGCCUGUGAAGAUAAUGACGGUAGCAGGUAAAGAAACCCCGGCUAACUCCGUGCCAGCAGCCGCGGUAAUACGGAGGGGGUUAGCGUUGUUCGGAAUUACUGGGGCGUAAAGCGCACGUAGGCGGAUCGGAAAGUUGGGGGUGAAAUCCCGGGGCUCAACCCCGGAACUGCCUCCAAAACUAUCGGUCUAGAGUUCGAGAGAGGUGAGUGGAAUUCCGAGUGUAGAGGUGAAAUUCGUAGAUAUUCGGAGGAACACCAGUGGCGAAGGCGGCUCACUGGCUCGAUACUGACACUCAGAUGCGAAAGCGUGGGGAGCAAACAGGAUUAGAUACCCUGGUAGGAUAGCG
rnacentral:rRNA from 1 species